AGAUACUGGAUCGGCAACUCCUCGAUGUUUGCGACCACCGCUAGGUGGCAGUGGUGUCGAGCGCUAAGGACGCGGGGGAGCGGGUGCUAUUCAAAACAAUGGUCGGCGUCGCGUCGUAGGGUCGUUUGCCUUGUUUUUUGAAAAGUUAAGCCCCUUUGGAGCAGAUUGGAAGGUUUCAGAAGAUGCAGGAAGAUGGCAAGAUCAAAGAGAUGGGUUCAGUUUUCACGGUGUGCUGACUUGAAUUGGCAUCCUGUGAUUUGUGAUGUGAAUUAUGAUGCACGCACUCGCAGGUGCACGCCCGCUGCGGACACGUGUGACGUGACGGCAGCAGGCGGACGGGGUGUGAACUGUUAACUGGCUCGACCGAAAAUUGUUAGUUAUCACAGCGUGUGUAACUGACUAACAUACCUAUGGGCAUACCCAUUGAGCGGAUAAUGCGUUCGUGUGCAUUAUCGUGUUUGCAUUUAUUCCCGAUAUACUCUGGUGGGAGAUGUGAAUUGGAAACCAACUUGGUGCUACGACACCGUUUAGUAGGCAUGUGGCACGUCGUUUCUCGAAGACUUCCUAUCAAUCUGUUAUUGUAAACAUUGUGUGUCAUCUUUCACCUUAGUUGUCAUUUGAACCUGUGUUAAAUUCUGAACCUCAGACCGGAACAGACUAGGAAAUCGCACGCGAAAUUCAUUAAGUUGCAAUAGCAUCAAUCACACGCAAGUAGGUGCGUGCUAUGGAUGCGAGUGCGACCGGGGUUUAUUUGAAUAGGCUCUCGGUCUCGCACAUGAUUUCUGACUGCGGAAAGAGUCGGUUUCAGCCUCUACUCAGUAUGCAUUUCGCUCAUGCGACGGCAAAUAUAAGUUCAAUACGGAAA